GAUGAACGCUGGCGGCGUGCCUAAUACAUGCAAGUCGAGCGAACAGACGAGGAGCUUGCUCCUUUGACGUUAGCGGCGGACGGGUGAGUAACACGUGGGUAACCUACCUAUAAGACUGGGAUAACUUCGGGAAACCGGAGCUAAUACCGGAUAAUAUUUCGAACCGCAUGGUUCGAUAGUGAAAGAUGGCUUUGCUAUCACUUAUAGAUGGACCUGCGCCGUAUUAGCUAGUUGGUAAGGUAACGGCUUACCAAGGCAACGAUACGUAGCCGACCUGAGAGGGUGAUCGGCCACACUGGAACUGAGACACGGUCCAGACUCCUACGGGAGGCAGCAGUCGGGAAUCUUCCGCAAUGGGCGAAAGCCUGACGGAGCAACGCCGCGUGAGUGAUGAAGGUCUUCGGAUCGUAAAACUCUGUUAUUAGGGAAGAACAAACGUGUAAGUAACUGUGCACGUCUUGACGGUACCUAAUCAGAAAGCCACGGCUAACUACGUG
rnacentral:rRNA from 1 species